rnacentral:snRNA from 1 species
AUGCCUUAAACCACGAGUAAGGAAAACGACAAUUUGGAGUGAUGCCAGAAUCCUCACUGCUAACGUGAGACAGUUUUGAGGGGGUAAAUGUUGCCUCUGAGGUGCCCUGAGAGGGAUGCCUGGGAGUCGCCGUCUGCCCA